AGAGUUUGACCUGGCUCAGGAUGAACGCUGGCGGCAUGCCUAAUACAUGCAAGUCGAACGAAGUCUUUAGGAAGCUUGCUUCCAAAGAGACUUAGUGGCGAACGGGUGAGUAACACGUAGGUAACCUGCCCAUGUGCCCGGGAUAACUGCUGGAAACGGUAGCUAAAACCGGAUAGGUAUGAGGGAGGCAUCUUCCUCAUAUUAAAGCACCUUCGGGUGUGAACAUGGAUGGACCUGCGGCGCAUUAGCUGGUUGGUGAGGUAACGGCCCACCAAGGCGAUGAUGCGCAGCCGACCUGAGAGGGUGAACGGCCACAUUGGGACUGAGACACGGCCCAAACUCCUACGGGAGGCAGCAGUAGGGAAUCUUCGGCAAUGGGGGCAACCCUGACCGAGCAACGCCGCGUGAGUGAAGAAGGCUUUCGGAUCGUAAAGCUCUGUUGUAAGUCAAGAACGGGUGUGAGAGUGGAAAGUUCACACUGUGACGGUAGCUUACCAGAAAGGGACGGCUAACUACGUGCCAGCAGCCGCGGUAAUACGUAGGUCCCGAGCGUUGUCCGGAUUUAUUGGGCGUAAAGCGAGCGCAGGCGGUUUGAUAAGUCUGAAGUUAAGGGCUGUGGCUCAACCAUAGUUCGCUUUGGAAACUGUCAAACUUGAGUGCAGAAGGGGAGAGUGGAAUUCCAUGUGUAGCGGUGAAAUGCGUAGAUAUAUGGAGGAACACCGGUGGCGAAAGCGGCUCUCUGGUCUGUAACUGACGCUGAGGCUCGAAAGCGUGGGGAGCGAACAGGAUUAGAUACCCUGGUAGUCCACGCCGUAAACGAUGAGUGCUAGGUGUUGGAUCCUUUCCGNGGAUUCAGUGCCCGAGCCUAACGCAUUAAGCACUCCGCCGGGGAAUACCGACCGCAAGGUGAAACUCAANGGGAAUGACGGGGGCCCGCACAAGCGGAGGAACAUGUGGUUUAAUUCGAUGAUACGCGAGGAACCUUACCCGGGCUUGAAUUGCAGAGGAAGGAUUUGGAGACAAUGACGCCCUUCGGGGCCUCUGUGAAGGUGCUGCAUGGUUGUCGUCAGCUCGUGCCGUGAGGUGUCGGCUUAAGUGCCAUAACGAGCGCAACCCCUCUCCUUAGUUGCCAUCAGGUUAAGCUGGGCACUCUGGGGACACUGCCACCGUAAGGUGUGAGGAAGGUGGGGACGACGUCAAAUCAGCACGGCCCUUACGUCCGGGGCUACACACGUGUUACAAUGGCAGGUACAGAGAGACGGUCCCUUGCAAAAUGGAUCAAAUCCUUAAAGCCUGUCUCAGUUCGGACUGGGGUCUGCAACCCGACCCCACGAAGCUGGAUUCGCUAGUAAUCGCGCAUCAGCCAUGGCGCGGUGAAUACGUUCCCGGGCCUUGCACACACCGCCCGUCA
rnacentral:rRNA from 1 species